UACGAAGGGGGCUAGCGUUGCUCGGAAUCACUGGGCGUAAAGCGCACGUAGGCGGACUCUUAAGUCAGGGGUGAAAUCCUGGAGCUCAACUCCAGAACUGCCUUUGAUACUGGAGAGCUUGAGUCCGGAAGAGGUGAGUGGAACUCCGAGUGUAGAGGUGAAAUUCGUAGAUAUUCGGAAGAACACCAGUGGCGAAGGCGGCUCACUGGUCCGGUACUGACGCUGAGGUGCGAAAGCGUGGGGAGCAAACAGG
rnacentral:rRNA from 1 species